rnacentral:rRNA from 1 species
CUACGGGCCGCUGCAGUGAGGAAUAUUGCACAAUGGGGGCAACCCUGAUGCAGCAACGCCGCGUGGAGGAUGACGCAUUUCGGUGUGUAAACUCCUUUUAUCAGAGAAGAACCAUGACGGUAUCUGAUGAAUAAGCUCCGGCUAACUCCGUGCCAGCAGCCGCGGUAAUACGGAGGGAGCAAGCGUUAUUCGGAAUCACUGGGCGUAAAGGACGCGUAGGCCGGUCUGUAAGUCAGGUGUGAAAUGCAAUGGCUCAACCAUUGAACUGCACUUGAAACUGCGGACCUAGAGUAUGGAAGGGGCAGAUGGAAUUAGUGGUGUAGGGGUAAAAUCCGUAGAUAUCACUAGGAAGACCGAAAGCGAAGGCGAUCUGCUGGGACAUAACUGACGCUGAGGCGUGAAAGCGUGGGGAGCAAACAGGAUUAGAUACCCGGGUAGUC